GAAAUGCGAUACUUGGUGUGAAUUGCAGAAUCCCGUGAACCAUCGAGUCUUUGAACGCAAGUUGCGCCCCAAGCCUUUAGGCCGAGGGCACGUCUGCCUGGGUGUCACGCAUCGUUGCCCCCAACCCCCUCGCCCCGCAAGGGGCGACCGGAGACGGGGGGCGGACAAUGGCCUCCCGUGUGCCGCGUCACGCGGUUGGCCCAAAUGAGAGUCCCCGGCGACGGACGCCGCGACGUUCGGUGGUGCACUGUGCCUCGAGUUCCCGUCGUGCGUCCCUCCGUCGGAAGAAGGCUCCCCGACCCUCAGGCGCCGUCGACACGGCGCACGCAUCGCGACCCCAGGUCAGGCGGGAUUACCCGCUGAGUUUAA
rnacentral:rRNA from 1 species